UGGGAUUAAAGGUGUGUAUCAAAAAAGCCAG
rnacentral:piRNA from 1 species